GGUGGGGUCACCUAAGUGGCUGUGGGAUCUGUGCCUGUCUCCAAAGCUGCAGAGAGUCACGACUUAAGCCACCUGUCUGUGCCUUCGCAGGAAAGCACACCUUAAUGUCCCCAACAAGCCAGCCUCCGGGAGAAAGAGCAGCCACUCCACUAGCUCAGACCUUCCUCCUCACACCCGGAAUGCUUCCUACCCACCAAACCUCCUGCCUUCUUCUGUUUGCUGUUUCCCUGCCUUAUCUCUAGUUUGUAUGCUGGUUGCCCUUUUUGUGACUGCAUCGCUUAAGUGUUACAACGUCCUCGUCUUCUUGCAGAAUCUCUCCUGAAAGAGACAAGAAAACAAGCAGACAAUGAAAAGAAAAAGACAGCAGAUAAGAAAGGCAUUCCAGGCAUUAACAACACCAUGUUCUGCACAAUUCUGUUUCAUCUUCCUGCACUCAACGCUGUCUGUCACAGCAAGGAGCUCAAGAAAGACACGCUUUUAAAAUUAGAGGUACAGCAUGGUUUCUGCAAGGCAGGGCUAAAUCCCACAAGUGUGAUCAACCUAGUGUGAAGAAGAACAAAGUGGGUCAUUGCCAGGGAGAAACACAGAAGCAGCUCCUGGUGGAACAAGGCUUGGGAGAAAUUGCGUCAGAAGCAGCACCCCUGAUUUGCCCCUGAAAAUAAUGACUCAAAGUACUGACGUUCAUGCAUGCUGUGUUAAUCCAGAGUCAUGUCCACGUGUGCUGCUAAUUUAGAGUUGUGAUCCCUCAUCUGAGUAUGUGCUUAAAGACCAGACUGUACCUCAGAAAUCAGGCCUCAGUGAACUGAGCUAUUGGGUGAGUCAUUCAUGAAAGCUAAACAGAGACUUUAAUGUGGAGCUGUUCAAUCAAAUGUACUCUGUCUUCUUCUGGACGUGCAGGUGGUGAUUACAUUUAUCCCAAAAGCUCCUGUAGUCACUCGUGGGACCCAAGAUGCUGUUUCACAAGAGCUAACUGUGCUGAGGCUGGAAAGCACAAAAAUGGUGAUUCUACAAUGCCGUGUGGGCAGCUCUGAGAUGCAUGUGGCUUUUACAGAGAAGAAGGAGGAAUAGAAACAGGAAAUAUAGAUUGA